CGAGUUACUUUCUCUGGCAAGGUUAAGAGAUGAAGAGUCUCGUAGCCGAAGCGAAAGCGAGUCUGAAUAGGGCGGUUUAGUCAGAGGGAGUAGACGCGAAACCAAGUGAUCUACCCUUGGUCAGGUUGAAGGUUGGGUAAAACCAACUGGAGGACCGCACCGGUAAGCGUUGAAAAGCUUUCGGAUGAACUGAGGGUAGGGGUGAAAGGCUAAUCAAACUUGGAGAUAGCUCGUACUCCCCGAAAUGCAUUUAGGUGCAGCCUGUGGAGUUUCUUACGUGAGGUAGAGCGACUGAUUGGAUGCGAGGCUUUCACCGGCUAUCAAGUCCAGACAAACUCCGAAUGCACGUUAAGUAAGAUCCACGGAGUGAGGGCAUGGGUGCUAAGGUCCAUGUCCGAGAGGAGAAGAAUCCAGACCAUCGGCUAAGGUCCCGAAAUAAUAGCUAAGUUGACCAAACGAAGUCAGAGUGCGAAGACAGCUAGGAUGUUGGCUUGGAAGCAGCCAUUCAUUUAAAGAGUGCGUAACAGCUCACUAGUCGAGUGCUUUGGCGUGGAUAAUAAUCGGGCAUAAGCUAUUUACCGAAGCUGUGGGAUGUGUAAACAUCGGUAGGGGAGCAUUCUAGCGGCGCUGAAGGUGAGAGGACAACUCUUGCUGGAGCUUCUAGAAAAGCAAAUGUAGGUAUAAGUAACGAUAAAGGAGGUGAGAAACCUCCUCGCCGAAAGACUAAGGUUUCCUGAUCAACGCUAAUCGGAUCAGGGUUAGUCGGGGCCUAAGGGGAAGCCGAACGGCGUACCCGAUGGAAGAACCGGUUAAUAUUCCGGUACUAAUUAUGUGAGCGAUGUGGAGACGGAGAUGUGACGGUCCUGCCAACUGACGGAAUAGUUGGUUGAAGGGUGUAGGAGUUGAUCUGAGUAGGCAAAUCCGCUCGGAGAUCCGAACCUGACAGUACUCUGAGUGCUUGCACAAGGAGAUAUGGACAACUGUAACGGUGCUCCCAAGAAAAUCCGCUAAGCAUAUUGCAUGAUUACCCGUACCAUAAACCGACACAGGUGGUUGGGUUGAGUAUACUAAGGCGCUCGAGUGAUUCGCGGUUAAGGAACUAGGCAAAAUAGUCCUGUAACUUCGGAAUAAAGGACGCUCACAGUGAAGGCUGUGAGCCGCAGAGAAUAGGCCCAGGCGACUGUUUAACAAAAACACAUGGCUAUGCUAAAUCGAAAGAUACUGUAUAUAGCCUGACACCUGCCCGGUGCUGGAAGGUUAAGAGGAGAUGUCAUCGCAAGAGAAGCAUUGAAUUGAAGCCCCAGUAAACGGCGGCCGUAACUAUAACGGUCCUAAGGUAGCGAAAUUCCUUGUCGGGUAAGUUCCGACCUGCACGAAUGGUGUAACGAU
rnacentral:rRNA from 1 species